rnacentral:rRNA from 1 species
GCUUAACACAUGCAAGUCGAGGGGCAGCAUGGUCUUAGCUUGCUGAGGCUGAUGGCGACCGGCGCACGGGUGAGUAACACGUAUCCAACCUGCCGUCUACUCUUGGACAGCCUUCUGAAAGGAAGAUUAAUACAAGAUGGCAUCAUGAGUCCACAUGUUCACAUGAUUAAAGGUAUUCCGGUAGACGAUGGGGAUGCGUUCCAUUAGAUAGUAGGCGGGGUAACGGCCCACCUAGUCUUCGAUGGAUAGGGGUUCUGAGAGGAAGGUCCCCCACAUUGGAACUGAGACACGGUCCAAACUCCUACGGGAGGCAGCAGUGAGGAAUAUUGGUCAAUGGGCGAGAGCCUGAACCAGCCAAGUAGCGUGAAGGAUGACUGCCCUAUGGGUUGUAAACUUCUUUUAUAAAGGAAUAAAGUCGGGUAUGCAUACCCGUUUGCAUGUACUUUAUGAAUAAGGAUCGGCUAACUCCGUGCCAGCAGCCGCGGUAAUACGGAGGAUCCGAGCGUUAUCCGGAUUUAUUGGGUUUAAAGGGAGCGUAGAUGGAUGUUUAAGUCAGUUGUGAAAGUUUGCGGCUCAACCGUAAAAUUGCAGUUGAUACUGGAUAUCUUGAGUGCAGUUGAGGCAGGCGGAAUUCGUGGUGUAGCGGUGAAAUGCUUAGAUAUCACGAAGAACUCCGAUUGCGAAGGCAGCCUGCUAAGCUGCAACUGACAUUGAGGCUCGAAAGUGUGGGUAUCAAACAGGAUUAGAUACCCUGGUAGUCCACACGGUAAACGAUGAAUACUCGCUGUUUGCGAUAUACGGCAAGCGGCUAAGCGAAAGCGUUAAGUAUUCCACCUGGGGAGUACGCCGGCAACGGUGAAACUCAAAGGAAUUGACGGGGGCCCGCACAAGCGGAGGAACAUGUGGUUUAAUUCGAUGAUACGCGAGGAACCUUACCCGGGCUUAAAUUGCAGAUGAAUUACGGUGAAAGCCGUAAGCCGCAAGGCAUCUGUGAAGGUGCUGCAUGGUUGUCGUCAGCUCGUGCCGUGAGGUGUCGGCUUAAGUGCCAUAACGAGCGCAACCCUUGUUGUCAGUUACUAACAGGUUCCGCUGAGGACUCUGACAAGACUGCCAUCGUAAGAUGUGAGGAAGGUGGGGAUGACGUCAAAUCAGCACGGCCCUUACGUCCGGGGCUACACACGUGUUACAAUGGGGGGUACAGAGGGCCGCUACCACGCGAGUGGAUGCCAAUCCCCAAAACCUCUCUCAGUUCGGACUGGAGUCUGCAACCCGACUCCACGAAGCUGGAUUCGCUAGUAAUCGCGCAUCAGCCACGGCGCGGUGAAUACGUUCCCGGGCCUUGUACACACCGCCCGUCAAGCCAUGGGAGCCGGGGGUACCUGAAGUGCGUAACCGCGAGGAGCGCCCUAGGGUAAAACUGGUGACUGGGGCUA